AUCCAGCUGACGAGUCCCAAAUAGGACGAAACGCAUGUUAAACUGGAU
rnacentral:hammerhead_ribozyme from 1 species